GAUGAACGCUAGCGGCAGGCUUAACACAUGCAAGUCGAGGGGUAACAGGGAUUAGUUUACUAAUUUGCUGACGACCGGCGCACGGGUGAGUAACGCGUAUACAAUUUGCCUUUUACUGGAGAAUAGCCCAGAGAAAUUUGGAUUAAUGCUCCAUAGUAUUAAUUGGUCACCUGGCCGAUUAAUUAAAGUUCCGGCGGUAAGAGAUGAGUAUGCGUCCUAUUAGCUAGAUGGUAAGGUAACGGCUUACCAUGGCGACGAUAGGUAGGGGUCCUGAGAGGGAGAUCCCCCACACUGGUACUGAGACACGGACCAGACUCCUACGGGAGGCAGCAGUGAGGAAUAUUGGUCAAUGGAGGCAACUCUGAACCAGCCAUGCCGCGUGCAGGAAGACGGCCCUAUGGGUUGUAAACUGCUUUUAUAUAGGAAGAAACUUACCCACGUGUGGGUAACUGACGGUACUAUAAGAAUAAGCACCGGCUAACUCCGUG
rnacentral:rRNA from 1 species